CUGAGCCACCCAGGGGUCCCACCUCCCAUCCUUUUUUAAAUCAGUUUUUACAUGGUUAAGAUCAUACUGCACAGAGUAAGAUGAGGCCCAAUUUAUUGAGUACUCCUAAAUGGCAGACAACCUGCUAAGUGCUUCACAUACAUUGUAUCAAUAUCCUAUGAGCCAGCUAUUUUAUGCCUAAUAUAUGGAAAAUAUGAGGACAUAUGGAAAAACUGAAGAUUAGUGAGUUUAAAUAAGUUGCCUUGGGCCAUCCAGCCAGUAAGCAGCCAAGCUGAGAUUUUAGCACAAGCUUGGCCAGUAUCAAAAUCCAUACUCUUUACCAUUAUGUUUAUUUUCUUUGUUUACCACUAUAACUAAUUUUUAUGUCAUUAACAAAUCAUUGCAAAUAUCAUGUAAAGUAAAAAGGUAAAGCUCCUGUAUGAUUAGGCUUAUCUCGCUGAAGCCCUGCAGUCAAUGAGCAAUCAUAUUUUUCAAAAAUCUUUACAAAUAUUAAGAGCAAGAAUGGAACAUCGUUGCUGUUCAAGUUAAAAUGUAUUGAGACUUUAAAUGUUUUUAUAAGCUUAUCAGGCAUUUGCAUUUCUAAGGAUUAUAUAUUUCUCAAAAAAGUACAGUGUGAGCCAGAAAUUACAAAAUGACCCUUUGGAACAAAUAACAUUACCUCAUUGAUUCUGGUUAUGUUGGGCAGGUACAGUAGGUAGAAGAUACACACACACACACACACACACACACACACACACACACACACAUAUAUAUAUAUAUAUAUGAUUUGUUUAAAGUUCCUAAACAUAGCUGGUUCCAAGACUUUAAGAUUCUCUCCUUAAAAUCUAGUUUACAUCAUUAUUUUUACAUCUAAAGAAAAAUGGUAAAAGGAAAAGGUAUUUACUAAGCAAAGAUAAAUGCUAACUAAACCCUUAUUGAAAAUAUCACCAGAUCAUGGAUUAAUGCAGUUUUAAUGCAUUUCCAAUACCUAGUUAUUCUGAUUUCCUUUCUGGCUACACUAUUUUCACUGUAAUCUAUUUAAGAGUUGGAGCCACUGAUGCAUUCAGUUUGAUUUAUCUAGUGACAAUACCUCAAUUAUCCUCCUGGGGAAAAUUAUUUUCUUGUGAGUAAAUCUAAUUUUGGUUUAAUCUUCCAAGUAAUUUUAAUUAAUUUUCUAUAUAUUUUGGCAAAAGUAAUUACGAAAGAAAAAGGCCAUUAUGACUAUAUUAUUAUGAAAUAUAGAGAAAAUAUCACAUCAAAAAAGAUAUAAACAUUUUCAGUUGGUGUUAGUGAAUUAUGACCUUGCAAGUUACAAGAAUAUGCCAGAAUGUUUUAGCACUCAUAAGCCACAGAAGGCUAAAGAGACAUGUGGCUGAUAAGAUGCGAAUUUUGUAAUUUGAGAGUUGAGUAAAUGGGUAGCAGUAUCUUGCCACCUUAAAUAUUCUGCCUGAUGUACUGGUAACAUGGGCAUUGGCUUAAUGGCUCAUUUUGUGGGAGAAUUUUUAACCUUUACAUCAACAUUUAUGUAAAAUUUAGGUUGCACAGAAAUAUAUAAUCAAUUUGAAUUUGCUGUUUCGGAUAUCUGCAUUUUCCUGGAUUUCCUUAUUAAUAGCUUACUUCUCUUUCUAUAGGCUUGGCUUGACAUAACCAAUCUGGAUCAUGUCUACAAAAGAAACAAACUGCAUACAAUUUUGCUGCAAAAGAUAACAAACCCCACAAAUUUUCAGUAGUGGAUAUCUAAGAAAUGAACCUCACUGGACAAAAAUUAUAAGAACUACGGAAGUCUGAGUUUCUGAAAUUGAAGAAGAGUUCCAGCUAGACCUUCCUAUUGUAAUCUGCAGUAAGAAGCACCCUCAUGGACAAUGAUGAUAAGAAUAUGGGGAGAGAAGCAUUUGAUGGAUGAGUGUGAUUUUUACCUGGCAUGAUGGCAGCAUGUGAGCAAGGACAAUGCCAACAUGGCCCUGGAGAAGGCAGAAAAAGAAACAAGUUAACUUGGGUCCUUAAUGCUUUCUUCUCAUUCUGAGACAGCAGUCUUGCCAAAUAAAAACAUGACUCUGAAUGUAAUACAGUAAAGUCACAUAGUCGGGGGAAGGCUAAAGAGAAUAAGAGGAGAGACAUAAUACCCCGCC